rnacentral:rRNA from 1 species
UACGUAGGGUCCGAGCGUUGUCCGGAAUUACUGGGCGUAAAGCGUGCGCAGGCGGUUUUGUAAGCCAGAUGUGAAAUCCCCGGGCUUAACCUGGGAAUGGCAUUUGGGACUGCAAGGCUGGAGUGUGGCAGAGGAGACUGGAAUUCCUGGUGUAGCAGUGAAAUGCGUAGAUAUCAGGAGGAAUACCGAUGGCGAAGGCAGGUCUC